AACCUAAAGGCGAAAUGAAAGUGAAGGUCAGCCUCGCGUUGACCGAGGGAGGAUGGGCCUUCCUACGGGAGGCCCCGCACUCCCGGGGCGUCUCGUUCUCAUCGCGAGAGGAGGCGCACCCAGAGCGUACACGCUGGGACCCGAAAGAUGGUGAACUAUGCCUGGUCAGGACGAAGUCAGGGGAAACCCUGAUGGAGGUCCGUAGCGAUUCUGACGUGCAAAUCGAUCGUCGGAACUGGGUAUAGGGGCGAAAGACUAAUCGAACCAUCUAGUAGCUGGUUCCCUCCGAAGUUUCCCUCAGGAUAGCUGGCGCUCGCCGCGCGCGAGUCUCAUCCGGUAAAGCGAAUGAUUAGAGGCAUUGGGGUCGAAACGGCCUCAACCUAUUCUCAAACUUUAAAUGGGUGAGAUCUCCGGCUUGCUCGAACACGUGAAGCCGCGAGAUUUCGGAUCAGA
rnacentral:rRNA from 1 species